rnacentral:rRNA from 1 species
GGUUAAGCGACUAAGCGUACACGGUGGAUGCCCUGGCAGUCAGAGGCGAUGAAGGACGUGCUAAUCUGCGAAAAGCGUCGGUAAGGUGAUAUGAACCGUUAUAACCGGCGAUGUCCGAAUGGGGAAACCCAGUGUGAUUCGUCACACUAUCGUUAACUGAAUACAUAGGUUAACGAGGCGAACCGGGGGAACUGAAACAUCUAAGUACCCCGAGGAAAAGAAAUCAACCGAGAUUCCCCCAGUAGCGGCGAGCGAACGGGGAGCAGCCCAGAGUCUGAAUCAGCUUGUGUGUUAGUGGAACGGUCUGGAAAGUCCGACGGUACAGGGUGAUAGUCCCGUACACCAAAAUGCACAGGCUGUGAACUCGAAGAGUAGGGCGGGACACGUGGUAUCCUGUCUGAAUAUGGGGGGACCAUCCUCCAAGGCUAAAUACUCCUGACUGACCGAUAGUGAACCAGUACCGUGAGGGAAAGGCGAAAAGAACCCCGGCGAGGGGAGUGAAAAAGAACCUGAAACCGUGUACGUACAAGCAGUGGGAGCACCUUCGGGUGUGACUGCGUACCUUUUGUAUAAUGGGUCAGCGACUUAUAUUCUGUAGCAAGGUUAACCGUAUAGGGGAGCCGCAGGGAAACCGAGUCUUAACUGGGCGUUAAGUUGCAGGGUAUAGACCCGAAACCCGGUGAUCUAGCCAUGGGCAGGUUGAAGGUUGGGUAACACUAACUGGAGGACCGAACCGACUAAUGUUGAAAAAUUAGCGGAUGACUUGUGGCUGGGGGUGAAAGGCCAAUCAAACCGGGAGAUAGCUGGUUCUCCCCGAAAGCUAUUUAGGUAGCGCCUCGUGAACUCAUCUUCGGGGGUAGAGCACUGUUUCGGCUAGGGGGUCAUCCCGACUUACCAACCCGAUGCAAACUACGAAUACCGAAGAAUGUUAUCACGGGAGACACACGGCGGGUGCUAACGUCCGUCGUGAAGAGGGAAACAACCCAGACCGCCAGCUAAGGUCCCAAAGUCAUGGUUAAGUGGGAAACGAUGUGGGAAGGCACAGACAGCCAGGAUGUUGGCUUAGAAGCAGCCAUCAUUUAAAGAAAGCGUAAUAGCUCACUGGUCGAGUCGGCCUGCGCGGAAGAUGUAACGGGGCUAAACCAUGCACCGAAGCUGCGGCAGCGACACUAUGUGUUGUUGGGUAGGGGAGCGUUCUGUAAGCCUGCGAAGGUGACCUGUGAGGGUUGCUGGAGGUAUCAGAAGUGCGAAUGCUGACAUAAGUAACGAUAAAGCGGGUGAAAAGCCCGCUCGCCGGAAGACCAAGGGUUCCUGUCCAACGUUAAUCGGGGCAGGGUGAGUCGACCCCUAAGGCGAGGCCGAAAGGCGUAGUCGAUGGGAAACAGGUUAAUAUUCCUGUACUUGGUGUUACUGCGAAGGGGGGACGGAGAAGGCUAUGUUAGCCGGGCGACGGUUGUCCCGGUUUAAGCAUGUAGGCUGGUUGUCCAGGCAAAUCCGGAUAAUCAAGGCUGAGGUGUGAUGACGAGGCACUACGGUGCUGAAGUAACAAAUGCCCUGCUUCCAGGAAAAGCCUCUAAGCAUCAGGUAACAUCAA